GAUUUCUGGCACGAUGCGCCUGGCCCGCCACGGUUUCGUGUGUGAGUGCCGGGUCGGAUCUGCCAUCCUUCCAGAGAACGGUUUUACCCUUCAUUGGGCCGAAGCCGCAAUCUGGAUCGUUUACUUUGAAAAAAUUAGAGUGUUUCAAGCAGGCGACUCGCUGUGAAUACAUUAGCACGGAAUAAUAAUUUAGGACUUCGGUUCUAUUUUGUUGGUUUCUAGGACUGAAGUAAUGAUUGAUAGGGACAGUUGGGGGUGCUAGUAUUCAGCGGCCAGAGGUGAAAUUCUUGGAUUCGCUGAAGACUAACUUAUGCGAAAGCAUU
rnacentral:rRNA from 1 species